rnacentral:lncRNA from 1 species
UGGCAACCCACUCCAGCAUUCUUGCCUGGGAAAUGCCAUGGACAGAGGAGUCUAGGGGGCUGCAAGUGUUAGGAUACUCUAAUUGCCCUGAACCCUUUGCUUACAGGCUUCCCACAUAGCUCAGUCAAUAAAGCAUCUGUCUGCAAGACAGGAGAUCUGGGUUCAAUUCCUGGGUCAGGAAGUUCCCCUGAAGAAGGAAAUGGCAACCCACUCUAGUAUGCUUGUCUGGAAAAGUCCAUGGGUAGAGGAGCCUGGCAAGGUACAGUUCAUGGGAUCACAAGAAUCGAAUACGACUUAGUGCUAUCUUUCUUUCUUUUCUUUGCUUACAGGAUAAGAAAGAGUCUCUAUUACCAUGUCAGUUCACCAUUGCGGUGUUGACUUUCUGAAAUCAGGGUUGAGAGUAGGGGAGGAAAGACAGAAAACACUACCCAUUCAGACAUUGUAGUAUAUCACCAGUAGAUUCCCAGACAUACUGUGGCAUACAAGCCCAUCAAUUAUAUAAACUCCCAGCAAGUUCAAAGAAAACAAUAAACAAAGAAAAGGUCAUCAUAUAACAGCGAAACAAGUCAGGGAAAACAGCUGCCAGUGUCAGGCAAAGCUUGAUCCAAUCGAAGGCAGAAAAUAUCAGGCGAGAUUAAGACUGCUUAUUGGCUUUAAGUCUGCAGGUGGUGUGUUCCCUCUGAAGCCACGGUGCCCAGAAAGGCAGCAGUCAAAGUUAGUAAACCAGCGGCCCUUUCAACCAAGGUUCCCCCUCACAUAUUAUGCCUCAACACCUAUGCCUGGGUUCAAAAGUCUAGCGUUUGGGUUAUGAUCUGUGAAACACUAGAAUGGGCUCCUGAAAAAACAUGAAAGCUAAAUCUGUGAUAUACAAAUUCUUCAUGAAGCUCUCUUUUGGGAGAAAGUAAUAUGACCUGAAACUCAGAUCCAGAAUAAAUCUCUAUCUCAAGCAACAUAAAAGAGUGAGUAAGGUCAUGCUGGUCUGAAAUCCAGGUAACUGAUCAUGAUACUUUCAGACUUCACUUCCAGGAACUGAUCUAACAUCAUUGUUAGAAGUGCUUUGCCUAGAAAGAAAGCAAGGCAAUUGAAAGGUGAAGGCAUUCCCUGGUGGCGCAGUCUGACAAUGCAAGGGACAUUAGCUCAAUCCCUGGUCCAGGCGGAUUCCACAUGCCAUGGGGCAAAUAAGUCCACGUGCCACACCUACUGAGCCUGCGCUCUAAAGCCCAAGAGCUUAUAACUGAGCCCAUGUGUCACAGCUACUGAAGCCUGAGUGCUUAGAGCCUGCGGCUCCCGCAGUGAGAGAAGCCACAGUGAGAAGCCCAAGCACCACAACCAGAGAGUAACCCUGCUCACCACAAUUAGAGAAAACCUACGCACAGUAACGAAGAUCCGGCACAACCAAAAUUAUGUUUGUGUGUCUUAGUCACUCAGUUGUGUUCAACUCUUUGCAACCCCAUGGACUGUAGCCNNNNNNNNNNNNNNNNNNNNNNNNNNNNNNNNNNNNNNNNNNNNNNNNNNNNNNNNNNNNNNNNNNNNNNNGGAUCUUCCCGACCCAGGGAUUGAACCCACGUCUCUUGCAUCUCCUGCAUGAAUAGGCAGGUUCUUUACCACCUGAACCACCUGGGAAGCCUUUAAGUAUCUGGGCCUAUAAGCAAAUGUUCACUCAUUUAUAUUUCCCUUAGCCUUUAAUGAUGAACUGUCUUUGUAAAUUUCAUCAUUAUUGAUCUUUGUGUCACAUUUGGAUCUACUAAAACGUUUCACACAACAGUACAAUUAUAGGAGUCAAAUUUCUGUUUUCCUGUCUUGUAUCCACCUUCUUAGACACCUAGGCAUUCACAUCCCAUAUGCCAUCUGUCAGGGGACCGAAUUCAUGGAUUUGUAUACCAUGGACAAGUGUUCUUUGCUUAAAUUUAACUGCUAUAUUUUCCUUCUGCUCAAACCACUAAUUUCAAGCUCAGAAAUUGGAAUCUAAGUUGGUAAUCAUUACCUGAAGUUCCAGGAACCCAAGCUUACACCUAAAUCUGCAAAUACUAAUAUAUUCUUUACAACUGUAUUACCAACAAAUAGAUCAGUUCUGUAUACCUGAGAAAGAUAGCAUGGCAAAAAGAGAAGACAGAACUAAAGGAAAC